CUGUUCCGUCGAGAAGCACCUCGAGACCACAUACAGGGUGUUCAUCACUUCCAUGUCUCGCGGCUAGUCCUCGGACCUGUGGCAGCAAGUGCCCGAGUGUGAAACUCGACCUUUCAGUGCGGAUGGAUGGGAACACUCCAUGUGAUCGUACUCCGUUGCUGACUGGUUACAUUGUCGUAGCAAAGUUAUGUGCAUAACGAAAUGAGGCUCACUCCAACGGAAAU
rnacentral:RNase_MRP_RNA from 1 species